GUCAGCACAGAGCCCAUCAUGAGGCUCAAACCCACAGACCGCAAGAUUGUGACUUGAGCCGAAGUGGGGUGCUCGACUGAGCCACCCAGGUGCCCCUUAAGAAUCUUUUUGAGUGUUAAGAUUAACCUAGACAAAUAAUAAAAAGCUAAGAUACUUGAUUAGCAGUCCAGUGGCAAUAAAAGUAGUUCAAAAGAAUCUUUCCUUCUAGAAAAUUCCAUUUGCUUUUUCUACUUCUAUUUUAAUUAGAGCUAACACUGAAAGUGAAGUUAUGGGAGUUAAGAUUGAAUAGAACACAGUUGCUAAUACUGGAUUUCUUCAUAUUUAUACAGUUCUGGUGUAUGUAAAAGGCUGUAGUAGAGACACACAGAGGCUAAACUUUGCUGGGUUUAAACCCAUCUUUGUCCCUUAGGGGUUUGAUCUUGAAUAAACAGCUUAACUCCACGGGUCACUUUUAAAACCCCUAUUUCGUAAAAGGUGCCUCUGAGAAAUAAGUCAGGGUAAGUGGAUAAGACAAAUGCUGGGUAUUUUUCCCCUACCUUUGAUGAAGUUUCCCAUAAGGACAAAAGCCUAGGCGUUUUUUUCUAAAAAUACGGAACGUUACAGAAGCAGAUUCUGUUGGAUUUGAUGGUCUAGGAAGAUUUUGUUGACUUAGUGAUCUUUAAAUCCCUUUUAUUAUUUCCAGUGAACAGUAAAAUCACACGUGAGUACUCAGCACGUCAAGCUUUAGGCUUUAGGUCAUGAUUAGAUACAGUAGAGAGAUGCAGGUGGCCGUGGGAAACACUGCAAGGGGGCCAGAGUCUGUGAAACUAGAUGAAUGCCAGGCUAGCUAAUGUGGAACAGCUGCUUAGAUUUCUUUGUUUAUAAAAGAGUUUUUAAAUUAAGGUAUAACUGACCUGUAACGUUUUAGUUUCAGAGGUACACGAUAACUCAAUGUUUCUAUGUAUUAUGAAGUCGUCACAGUAAGCCUAGUUAACCUAUCACUACAGUUAAACUUUUUUUGUUUAAACUUGUUGAUAAGGACUUUUUAAAGAUUCACUCUCUUAGCAACUUUCAAAUGUGCAAUACAGUAUUAUUAACUGUGGUCAUCCUGCUGUACUCCUAUCCCUGGCAUAUUUUACAACUGGAAGUUUGUAUCUUUUGACCCCCUCACCCGUUUUGCCCAUGCCUGCUCUGGCAGCCAUCCAUUGUUUGUAUUUAAUAACUGAGUUACUACGCUUCACAUAGACAGUCUAAACUUUGCAGUAGAAUGAAUACCUCUUUUUAUUUACUUUUAAACAAGUCUUUUUUUUUUUUUUUAAGUUUAUUCAUUUUGAGAGAGAGAGGGAGAGAGAGUCCCAAGCAGGCUCCACACCAUCAGCACAAAGCCCAAUGUGGGGCUUAAACCCAUAAAGCCAUGAGACCAUGACCUGAGCCGAAACUGAGUCAGACGCUCAACCGACUGAGCCCCAAGGUGUCCCAAUUGAAUGCUUCAUUUUAACCUGGACUGAGGACCUUGGUUCAUCCAGGUAACCGGUGUGUACUGACAGCCGUGGCAUGGCUUUCUUGGGGCACAGGAGCCUGCAUGCCCGUCCUGAGAAGGAACACCGCAGUGGCAGGACCCACAGGCCACCCACCCAGACGACACUGGGGUGUGCUGGUCUUUGUACCCAAGGCUGUAAGAGGCUGCAAGUGCUGACGUAAUAACGCGUGUACCAACAUAAAAGGCAUGGUCUUACUAUCUACCUACUUUGGAAAGAACGGAUGUUUACUCGUAAUAUCCUUUUGUAUCCCGUGUUCAUAGUGUUCCGGAAUGUAUUAAGGUAUCAAACCUCGUUAGGCAGAGUUACAAACAUUUUGUCCACGCACUAUUUAAAGACAUGAUGUGUUUUUUUUGCAGGCGACCAGCCUUUCUGCACCGUCUGUCUAAAGGAAUUGCUGAUUGCUUGCGAUCACUACAUGUACGGAACAAGGUCUCGUGGCUGUCGGUCUCCCGCUGUUUCAGCUUGAGCUCUUUAGUCUUGGGGCCCAGGUGCUUUUAAGCAAUUUGGGAGGUAGACUUCUGGGUUCGUUUAACCUGGAGAACUGGCUAGUCAUCAUUUAGUGCUGUUGAGGAACUCGUGUCCUCCUUACCCUCCGUCUGCAAGCUUGUGGAGGGCUUGGGGGUGGGAACAGCAGGAGAGAGGUCCGUCACGUACCAAAAGGGCCUCUUUAGGGUUUUGUGGGGGCUUUGUUUCCCUCACAGACCAAACACCAGUGUGCUGUGUCCCGCUCCCCCAACCCACCAAAAAAGGACAACAAAUACAUGGUUUUAACUGGAAUGAAGGAAAGCAUUAGCUCACUUCUCUUGCCUCAAAUACUUUGUAUUACCUGAUUUUGUUCAUAAAGAUGGGGUCGAUGCUUUCUCAACUUAAAAUCCCUACUUAGAAGGGCAACCGGGUGGCUCGGUUGGUUAGGUGUCCAACUCUUGAUCUCGGCUCAGGUCGUGAUCUCAGGGGCCGUGAGCGUGAGCCCCAUGUCAGGCUCUGCUGACAGCGUAGAGCCUGCUUGGAAAUCUCUGUGUCUGCCCCUACCCCCACUUGUAAUGAAUAAACAAAACAGAGAAAUCCUUACUUAAAAAGAAGUCCCUGCAAACAGUAACUGGCUAAGUCUUGAUUUGUGCCAUUCGGUGCUUCAUUUUAAACCAGAGUUUUCUUACUAAACAAGAAAAUGUCAGGUUUGAGUCAACCUUCAAUUAUUCAGCCAACAUAUAAAAGUAACAGCCGCCAUGUAUCGUCUGCGUGUGCAGGCACCAUGUAUACUGUAUGUUAAAUCUUCCCAACAGCCCUGCCUGGGAAGAUGUUAGUGUUCCUGGAGAGGAUGCCACGACCUGGCAGGGGGUCCACAUGUGGCUGCAAAGCCUGUAUCCUCUUAGCCACCAUCCUGCACAGGAGACGCGCCGGGUCGCAGGCCGUGGCACCGUUGGCCCAAAGUAACUGAUGUCAGGAGUGGAACCAGGUGUCUACAGUGGUCUCGUCUCUGUCCUUGCUUCCCAGUGUGGUAGGGAAUUACCCUCAGUUUAUGACCACAAAAACAAUAAGAUCCAAGAAACUCACGUGGUCCAGGAGUAGAGCCGGAAUAAGACAUCAGGGUGGUCAGCCUGGGGUCUUCGUGGCUGGGCUUCUUACGGGAAGGAAAGACCGAUGCUGCCGAGCGCAGCACACACAGGCUUUCCCUCCAGGUGCACCUGCGCCUUGUUCUCGCAUGCUUCCUGCCUCGCCUCGUAGUCAGUUUUAGGAUUGCAUUUCACCCCUAAGACUUUACGCAGUUUACCAGGUGCAGAAUGAUAUGUGAAGUCAGAAGGUCUGAAUCGGGACUGGCGGACCAGUACAGCCUACCUUGGGGAGGUCAGUUUUCUCGCCCAGCAUCCUCCCAGACAACUCUGUGACCGUGCGUGUCCCGCAGUCCGGGGAUGAGCCCAGCUAAUGUGCGCACCCACUCUAAGGAUGCUGAAUCCUACACAAUUCUGGUCCAUUGUUGAUCAUUCCAAUUAACAGAUGUGUUCUGGAAAAUGGAGUUGAGGGGCACCUGGGUGGCUCAGUCGGUUAAGCGUCUGACUUUGGCUCAGGUCGUGAUCUCACGGUUCGUGGGUUCGAGCCCAGCGUCAGGCUCUGUGCUGACGGCUCGGAGCCUGGAGCCUGCUUCGGAUUCUGUGUCUCCCUCUCUCUGCCCCUCCCCCACUCAUGCUCUGUCUCUCUCUCUCUCUCAAAAAUAAGUAAUCAUUAAACAAAAAAUGGAAUUGAGAUUGCUUACAGCUGGAGAGAAACAUCAAGUCCAGCUGUAAAAUACAGUGGCGGCUUCGUCUUCCGUCCUUUUGGCGGGGGGCGGGGGGCGCUGCAGCUGCUUUUCCAGAAAUGACCCUGUUUCUCUGUGUAGGACCCAGGGGUGGAGAGACAUGGUAAUCGUCCUGUUGACUCCCCUCUUGAUUGAAUCCGAGUAGACCCAAAAUUAGCUCAGUCACUUCCGUGUGUAGGUGAGGAGACUGAGGCCCAGAACGAUGAAGGCACUCAAGUCAGUGGUAAGGCUCCUGAGCCAGACCUGGGUGGUCUGGUCACCGAGGCCAGUGCCCACGCUGCCGUCUGAGCCUGGGGCUGGCCUUCCUCCUGCGGGCGUGGGGGGAGCUGCUGUCUGCAGAGAGCAGAGGCCUUCAGUAGAUGUGUGUUAAGUAUAUAAUCGAUCCGUGAAUUGACAGAAAAACAAGACAUUUUCUUUUCUUUCUUUGACAUUUUCUUUUCUAACUUCUAAAUGUUCUAUGAUCACACCCUAGGACAGAAUUUCAAACUUGGGUAAAGGAAAUGUUUUUAGGAUAGAUGUAUAGGCCGUUAGAAAUGCAGUAUUUCUAAAUGAUUAAUAUUUGAGAAAUGGAAUUUGGUUAGAUUUUGGUCACCCAAUGCAUUUGAUAUUUUCUACUAUGAAGUUUCAAAAGAACAGAUGUAAAUAAUUGUUUGUAGGGUUUAUUAACAAUUUAUCCACUUACAAAGAUGCUUGAAAUGGUUUGCUGUCUCCCAAAUUUAUUUCUGCAUGAGAGAUUGCUUGAUAGUUAUUUGUUUUCUCUACUGUUGUAUUUAAGCAUCUUUUGGCUGCAACUAAUGGUAACGGACUGACUAGGCCUUAAGCAGAGAUGGAAGAGAAACCUUUCAGAAAAUCCAGGAAGCAGAGUGGCGCUGGGGACAGGUGGUGAUGAGAUCUUCACAGAUGUGACCUGAGGAACAGUUCUGCACAGGUGGAGAAGACACAUGUGGCCCCAACUAUGGCCAAGGGCAGAUGGCUUGCUAGAUGCUGAGCCACGAGUCUGGCUUGGACAGUCAGGUACUGUGUUUGGAGUAAACUUUUCCAUUUUUAAAAUCCUUCUUGCCCUGAUAGAUGCUGUGUUUAAAACGGGUAAUUACACUGCCACCAUGGCAACCAGGCUGGAUUUGGCUUCAUUCUUUCCACAUUACUUGGGAUAUGCUCAGGGAAUGGAAAUUAACUUUUAUAUUUCUUUCUUUUUUUUAAACAUGUUUGCACACUUUAUUUUUUAAAAAUUUUUUAACAUUUAUUCAUAUUUUGAGAGACAGAGCGUGAGCGGGGGAGAGGCAGAGAGAGAGGGAGACACAGAAUCUAAAGAAGGCUCCAGGCUCUGAACUGACGGCACAGAGCCCGACGCGAGGCUUGAAACCACAGACCGUGAGAUCAUGACCUGAGCUGAAGUUGGACGCUUAACCGACUGAGCCACCCAGGCGCCCUAACUUUUAUAUUUCAAGCUAGUCCACGUUGGGUUUCUACACUGACCAAAUCUACCACCACCUACGCUGCCCAGCCCUGCUAACCUCCCCAGCAUCACAGCUGCAUCUGUCUUCACAGAUCUCUGUCCAGUGUAUUACGUACACGCCUCUCUGGUGGUUUUGAAACCACAAAUUUCUCACUCCUCCCAUUAAAGGCGGGGCCUAGUUCCCCUCCCCUGGCCUCUGGAUGAACCUUCCAGCCUGCGCUCAGAAGGAGACCAUGGCCAGCCGGCCAGGAGGCCUCAAGACUACCCAGGUGAGGGUGGACAGGGCAGCAUAGCUCCGGCCCAGCCCGGUCCACACAGGCUCACCCUGAGACUCAGCCACCCACCAAGGCCAGAUGGGUGUUCCUGCCACAACUUCAGCAGAGUCUCUGGGCAGCCAGAGCCUCCCACCAGACGCACGAGCAAGCCCGCAGGUGGUUCCAACCCCAGGUGACACCGAGUGCACAGCCCUGCCCAAACCGCAGAGGCUCAGGAAAGUUAACUUGGGGUGUUUUGUUACACAGCAGUAGGUAACCUGUGCAAAGAUAUGGUUUCCCUUUGCCCUGUACGUAAAUGGCAUCGUAUCCUCUGUAUUGAUCUUACACUAAUUUUUUUCCUAGGUAACACUUUGCCCUGGAGAUCUUUGCAUGUCAGUACGUAAAGAUUAAUUAACAUAUAAUUAACUACUGCAAAUAAUUUUGUCCUAACUUAUGUAAACACUCCUCUGUUGGUCAACAUGUUGAUUGCUACAACUUGUUCCUUACUGCAAACCAUUCUAAGAUGGGUAUCUCUGUGUUGGUCUCAUCAGGCACGUGGGAGCAUUUCUCUACGAUAUCCAGAAAUGAAAUUGUAAGAGAAGAACCUCACACUUUUAUCAUUCUGCCAAAUUGCCCAAAAAGCUGUGCCCUUUUGCACUUAUACCAGAGUAUAUGAGAAUAUUUCCCUCCCCUUAUCUUUAUCAUUGCUGGAUAUUAACACGUUUUCCUAUCUUGAGAAAAAGAUAUAAUUGUAUGGUUAUUAUGUAGUAUAGAUUAACUACUUAAAUAUUACAUAUUUUAUACAUAUUAUAUAAUACAUAUUGUAUAUUUUAUAUAUAAGUAUGUGUAUUUAAAUAUACUUUGCACUUCCCUUGUUUGUAGUGAUUUUCUGCAACUCUUCAGGUGUAUAUUGGCCAUUUGUAUUUAUACUAAAGUCAUUAAUUGUCUUAUUGCUUUGUUAUGUGCAAAUAUUUUCUCCCAGUCUGUUGUUGUUACUUUGGUUUAUGGCAUCUUUUGUCAUAAAGAAGCUUUAAAUUUUGA